rnacentral:rRNA from 1 species
UUAAACGGAGAGUUUGAUCCUGGCUCAGGAUGAACGCUGGCGGCGUGCCUAACACAUGCAAGUCGAACGAUUAAACCGUCCUCGGACGGACAUAGAGUGGCGAACGGGUGAGUAA